rnacentral:rRNA from 1 species
AUACGUAGGGGACGAGCGUUGUCCGGAAUUACUGGGCGUAAAGGGCGCGCAGGCGGAUAUUUAAGUCAGCUGUAAAAGGCCUGAGCUCAACUCAUGUAUGCGGUUGAAACUGGGUAUCUAGAGUGCUGGAGAGGUAGCCGGAAUUCCCGGUGUAGCGGUGUAAUGCGUAGAUAUCGGGAAGAACACCAGUGGCGAAGGCGGCUUACUGGCCAGCAACUGACGCUGAGGCGCGAAAGCCAGGGGAGCGAACGGGAUUAGAUACCCCGGUAGUCCUGGCCGUAAACGAUGAAUGCUAGGUGUGGGUGUCGAGAGGCAUCCGUGCCGGAGUUAACGCGAUAAGCAUUCCGCCUGGGGAGUACGAUCGCAAGAUUGAAACUCAAAGGAAUUGGCGGGG